GGCUCAUCCAGUGCUGGCUGCGCAGGCUGCCCAAGCUGAGCUGAGCUCAGAUCCCUAGCACGUGAGCCUGUAGUGUAAGAAUCCCAGCAUGUGGUACAUCCUGGUGUUCAGGAGGCAGAGGCAGGUGUCAGGACUCUUCGGACAGCACUAGGGUCAGUGAGAGCCUGUGACAGUCAGAUAUAGAGCCCGGUGGGGUGGCACAUGCCUAUAAUCCCAGCACUCUGAAAGCUCAAGCAGGAGAAUGGUGAGUUGGAAGCCAGCCCGGGCUACACUGAAAGACCCUGCCACACACGGCAUCUCUAAUCUCCACUUCAAACCGGCAAAAGACUCACCUCGAAGAUUCCCACCCACCCGUUAGGCGGACACUGUUGGUUUCCGGCCACCAUUUGUCUACCAGCACAGGCUCGCCUUUAACUGCAUCCCCUAACGAUGCCUUCCAAUGGAGUACCACAGUCUGGGCAUGGACAGAGCUUAUGGGAACCACUGCUCACACCUCUUCAUAGCCCACUUCACAGGGUCCCAGGAACAUUCUAGAAGAAUCCUGGCACAACCAUGGGCCUAGUGGGAGAAGCUUGGUUGGUGGCAGCGUGCUUUCCAAAACUACACAAAGCUGGGUGUGGUGGUGAGUUCCAGCACACCAGAAGUAGAGGCAGGAUAAGGAAUCCACAGUCAUUGUCAGCCAAGUGUUGAAUUCAAGGCCAGCCUGGGCUAAGUGAGACUACCCGAGUCCUGAGCUGCUACUUGGCACCUCCUCUUAGUCACCUGGGCUAACCUCACUCAGCCUCAUUUUAAUCUCUUCUGCGGUUCUCUAGGAAUGGGGAACAGGAGAUUGAAUCAGACUAAACCCAGGGCAUACACCCUCAGAAAAGAGACCUUUUCCCCAGUCUGGAUGGCGCCCUGGGACCUGAGGUGGGACUCCUCCUUCUAGCUCUAGAUAACCCCUAGAGUAUAAGCAGAGUGCCAGGGUCCCAAGGGAGGGCUGAGGUUGUGAAACAGACAAGUCCCCCAGAGACCAAUCAGCAAUAGAGCACAUACAUACUCCACAGCCACCGGCUGGCUUUCUCCUUCGGCUCUCCUGCCUUCCCCACCCACCCGACCCCAACCCACCCUACAUAAGCCCUCAAGUAAGGGCAGGGUAGAGUAGAAGGCAGGGAAGGCUUACAGAGACAGCCUUUCUCUCUUCUGGGGUGGUGGCACAGAGGGUCUCAUGUAGCCCAGGCUGGCCUUGUGCAGAUUGUAGCAGAGAAGAACUAUGAACUUCUGACCUCCACCCCCCCAACUCCUCUCAAGUGCUGGGAUUUCUGUCUCACCCAGUGUGUGCAUUGCCGCCCAUUCUGCUGUGAGGAAUUCAAAACUCAGGAUGAUUAACCUGCCUGAAGACACACAGCUAUAAACAGAAAAGCAGGCGUUAGGCGCCAUGACUAUGAGCUUAUCAUGGACGGGGUCACUCACUACUGGCUUUGUGCCACUCGGCAGCUUGAAGAUGGCCUGAUGACA